rnacentral:rRNA from 2 species
UACGUAGGGGGCGAGCGUUGUCCGGAUUUACUGGGCGUAAAGCGCGUGUAGGCGGAAGCCUAAGUCCGAUCUGAAAGCCCCCGGCUCAACCGGGGAUCCGGACCGGAAACUGGGCUUCUUGAGGACGGCAGGGGAGUGUGGAAUUCCUGGUGUAGCGGUGAAAUGCGUAGAGAUCAGGAGGAACACCCAUGGCGAAGGCAGCACUCUGGACCGGACCUGACGCUGAGACGCGAAAGCGUGGGGAGCGAACGGG